GUACACGCUGUGACUAGCAUAUCAAUAAGCGGAGGAAAAGAAACUAACAAGGAUUCCCUUAGUAACGGCGAGUGAAGCGGGAAGAGCUCAAAUUUGAAAUCUUCAAGGUUCUACCUUGACGAAUUGUAGUUUAAAGAAGUGUUUUCUGUUAGUGGAGUGGCAAAAGUUCUUUGGAAUAGGACAUCAUAGAGGGUGAGAAUCCCGUAUUUGGUCAUUCCUUUCUAGCUUUGUGAUACACUUUCAACGAGUCGGAUUGUUUGGGAAUGCAGUCCAAAAUGGGUGGUAAAUUUCAUCUAAAGCUAAAUAUUGGCGAGAGACCGAUAGCGAACAAGUACCGUGAGGGAAAGAUGAAAAGAACUUUGAAAAGAGAGUUAAACAGUACGUGAAAUUGUCAAAAGGGAAGCGUUUGACACCAGUGUUGUUUUUCCGAAAAUCAAUUAUAAAUGUUUUGUUUCUGAGGAGUGAUGACUUCAUCGGCUUCCUUCUCUCUUCACGAAACUUUUGUAAUGCACUUUUCGGUUAACAAGUCAACAUCAAUUUCUUUUGUUGUAAAAGAGUAUUCGGAAGGUGGCUUUCUUUUCGGAGAAAGUAUUUAUAGCCCUAUACUUCUACAAUCGGAGAGAUUGAGGUCUGCAGCGUAGAUCCUUCGGGGUUAGAUACAUUUGUGCUAAGUUAUAGCUUUUCAUAGACAACUUGUUGACUAUGUUUAGUCUUGUAGCUUACUCGCUUGUGCUAUUUUACCUACGCUUAGGAUGUUGACACACGCGCGUGCUCG
rnacentral:rRNA from 1 species